GUGGGGAAUCUUCCGCAAUGGACGAAAGUCUGACGGAGCAACGCCGCGUGAGUGAUGAAGGUCUUCGGAUUGUAAAGCUCUGUUAAUCGGGACGAAAGAGCCUAGUGUGAAUAAUGCUAGGAAGUGACGGUACCGGAAUAGAAAGCCACGGCUAACUACGUGCCAGCAGCCGCGGUAAUACGUAGGUGGCAAGCGUUGUCCGGAAUUAUUGGGCGUAAAGCGCGCGCAGGCGGAUCUGCCAGUCUGUCUUAAAAGUUCGGGGCGUAACCCCGUGAUGGGAUGGAAACUACAGAUCUAGAGUAUCGGAGAGGAAAGUGGAAUACCUAGUGUAGCGGUGAAAUGCGUAGAUAUUAGGAGGAACACCAGUGGCGAAGGCGACUUUCUGGACUGUAACUGACGCUGAGGCUCGAAAGCCAGGGGAGCGAACGGGAUCAGAAACCCGGGUAGUCC
rnacentral:rRNA from 1 species